rnacentral:rRNA from 1 species
AUACGGAGGUGGCAAGCGUUGUUCGGAAUUACUGGGCGUAAAGGGCUCGUAGGCGGUUUGUCACGUCGGGAGUGAAAACUCGGGGCUCAACCCCGAGCCUGCUUCCGAUACGGGCUGACUAGAGGUAUGCAGGGGAGAACGGAAUUCCUGGUGUAGCGGUGAAAUGCGCAGAUAUCAGGAGGAACACCGGUGGCGAAGGCGGUUCUCUGGGCAUUACCUGACGCUGAGGAGCGAAAGUGUGGGGAGCGAACAG